UUUCUUGUCCGCAGCCUCUACCCCAGGCUGGGUGCCCAGGCGGUCUCCGGAGAGGAGGAGGAGGAGGAGGAGGAGGAGGGGUAGGAAGGAGGAGGAGGGAGCCGAGGAAGACGCGGAGCCUCCACCCGCCAGCCGGGAGCACUUGCAGCAGGUGCAGGAGGCUGGGCCCCGGGUUUGCACUCUGCGGCGGUGCCUGGGCCUCAGGAAGCCGACCCGGGAAGACCCGCCAGCCCGAAAAAAGUGAGCUGGAGAGAGGAAUAGAAGCGCCGGUUUCUGCUUAUUAUUCGCUGUUUCUGAUGGCCAAGAGCAAGGGGCAGUCAAGGCCAUUAAUGCAGAACUGGAAUUCAGCGAGGAGCGCCUCUUCUGCAGACUGCCCCCCGCUAGGGCGCGGGGAGGGCACCGGUUCCUCUGCGCGGAAAGGAGGGGGAGAAAGUCGCUAAGAGAAAAAUCCGGUGUGGCCCAGAUCUCCGGGUGCACAUUCCCGGGAGAGGAGCGCGCCGUUUCCAGCGCGGUGCAGCGCUCCGAGCGGCGGCCACCAGCGACCCAGCGCGCGAGCACAACGCGACCCACGAAGGGGGCUCGCGGGAGGCACCAAGAAGCACCGGCGCAUCAGAGCGGAGAACCCGCAGCCGAACCUUGCCGGGGCGCACCCAGCACCGGGGCGGGGGCCAGGACUUCGCUUCCACCGCAUGGGAUGAGCUGUGCAAGGUGGAGGAAGGCGGCGCAGAGCCGGGGGACGAAGCCCGGACCGGACAGGAAUCCCGGGGAGAAAGAAGGGAGCCCCAGCCUGGCCAGGAGGGGCAUUUUUGUCAGAGGGGGUAUUGGGGGAGUCCCUGAGCGCCGCGGAUUCCAGGGGGGCAGCGCGGACGCCCAUUCCCUGUUCUCCCCCGAGAGAAGCGGUUCCCGUGGGGCAGGAAGGGCUCUCAGCUCUUUGAGAUUGAGAUUCACAGGAAUCUAA
rnacentral:lncRNA from 1 species